AUUGAACGCUGGCGGCAGGCCUAACACAUGCAAGUCGAACGACUCGCGGACGGGUGCGUAAUGUCUGGGAAACUGCCUGCCGGCGGGCACUAACUACUGGAAACGGUAGCUACUACAGCUUACCAUCGGUUGUGCCCAGAUGGGAUUUGCUAGUGGGUGGGGGAACGGGUUACCUAGGCGACGAUGCCUAGCUGGUCUGAGAGGAUGACCGGCGACAUGGGGAAGUGGACACGGUCCAAACUCCUACGGGAGGCAGCAGUGGGGAAUAUUGCACAAGGGGCGAAAGCCUGUUGCAGCCAUGCCGCGUGGAUGAAGAAGGCCUUCGGGUUUUAAAGUACUUUGAGCGGGGAGGCGUUACUCGCAGAAAAAGCGCCGGCUGACUCCGUGCCAGCAGCCGCGGUAAUUC
rnacentral:rRNA from 1 species